AUUGAACGCUGGCGGCAUGCCUUACACAUGCAAGUCGAACGGCAGCGCGGACUUCGGUCUGGCGGCGAGUGGCGAACGGGUGAGUAAUACAUCGGAACGUACCCUGUUGUGGGGGAUAACUAGUCGAAAGAUUAGCUAAUACCGCAUACGACCUGAGGGUGAAAGUGGGGGACCGCAAGGCCUCACGCAGCAGGAGCGGCCGAUGUCUGAUUAGCUAGUUGGUGGGGUAAAGGCCCACCAAGGCGACGAUCAGUAGCUGGUCUGAGAGGACGAUCAGCCACACUGGGACUGAGACACGGCCCAGACUCCUACGGGAGGCAGCAGUGGGGAAUUUUGGACAAUGGGGGCAACCCUGAUCCGGCAAUGCCGCGUGUGUGAAGAAGGCCUUCGGGUUGUAAAGCACUUUUGUCCGGAAAGAAAUCGCGCUGGUUAAUACCUGGCGUGGAUGACGGUACCGGAAGAAUAAGCACCGGCUAACUCUGUGCCAGCAGCCGCGGUAA
rnacentral:rRNA from 1 species